rnacentral:rRNA from 1 species
UACGUAGGGUGCAAGCGUUGUCCGGAAUUAUUGGGCGUAAAGGGCUCGUAGGCGGUCCAUCACGUCGGGAGUGAAAAGCUGGGGCUUAACCCCAGUCCUGCUUCCGAUACGGGUGGACUAGAGGUAGGCAGGGGAGAACGGAAUUCCUGGUGUAGCGGUGGAAUGCGCAGAUAUCAGGAAGAACACCCGUGGCGAAGGCGGCUCUCUGGAACGCAACUGACGCUGAGACACGAAAGCGUGGGGAGCAAACAGG